CUUCUUUCUGCUUAGAGUCCUAUUUCAAAAAUUCCUUCAGAAGUUUUCGCAGCGAAUACAUUUGCACCUGUCAGUUCACAGGAACCUAUCACUGUCUUCCAGGAACAGAAAACAUCGGAAAAGCAGAUUUGCAAAUGACUUUGGAUUCAGCAGGAAGAUAAUUUUAUGGGGCACUUGGACUUGGAAGUAGGCGUUUUGCAGAUUAAAGCAUAUGGUGUUCGAAUCCUCCCUGUCUGUCAUCAGGAACAGAUGAUGCCAGCCCACUCAAGCCUUUAGGCUCUAUGGCACUUCGUAGAGUUUCUGCCUUUAGCUGAAUCUUACCAUUAUCGCUGAGAACCCUUAGAACUGCAACUAAAACUGCGUUGUUGUAUCAUGCCAUUCGAAGGAGAACUGAGUCCAUCUGUAUCCACUAAUUUUUAAAGUCAACAGGCCAGCAGUACCCAGUUAACCGAGAUGUCAACACUGUGGAGUUGUAGGUCAUAUUUCAUCAUCUAGAAGGAUACACUGCUGCCAGGCUUGCAGUUUUCCAUACGUGCACUCACACCUGCAUCUACCGCUUGAUUAAGAAAUACUGUGGUAUCUUCAAUAUCACUGUGUGGUUACUGAUGCGUCCUCAAAUCUACUCACAGAAGAGGAAGGAGUUAAUGACUGCAACUGGCUGCAUGAACUCUCCAGCCUCUCCCAGGACUUCCCAAAGCAGAUGAUUUUUUUACGUCUCUGUGCCUGCAUUAAAGGGAAGGGCAAUAAGAAAAUGAGAUAAGCAUGUUUUCAAAACUCAAGCCAUAUCUACUUUGUGACAGAAUAAACCAAGCACCAUAACCAGAACAAACCAGUGACCAUGCUUCAGCUGCAUCUCAGACUGCCAGCCACUGCCAGGAAGGAGUGUCUGAAGGUGUUACAGUGGGUCAUCCUUGCUCGUCUUACACUGGCAGCAUAUAUGGAUUCGGAGUUGUGUCAUCGUUUUUUCAGAUCUGUCAUUAUGAAGGACAAAAUAAUGAAACUAUGACCUGUGAAUGGAGUGAAGCUCACCUUUGUGCUGCUCUGCCUUCAUCUGAAUGAAAUUCAACUGUUGGUUACGCUUUAAAAAGAAAAGGUUUUCCACUGUCUGAUCUCUUCAUUGGUAUGCUGCUGAUUUGUAUUGGGUUUAGGUGGUGUUCAGAAGAUUGCCUCAAUAUCAAUGAGAAUUUUUCACCAGUGUAACAUUUUUUUUUGGUAGUGAGCUAUAAAAUCAUCAGACUAUGGCUGACUGGCUAUUUCCUGUUCUUCUUAUUCUGCUUAAAUUUUUUGUUUUAAAAAAGGAACUUUUACCCCUUUUCUCAUAGAAUGAUAAUCUAAUGGUAAUUUACAGGUGAUGGAUAUAUUAAAAAUGCAAAUGAUUCUUCCACUAUUAUGAAACUUUAAUUUUCUUUUGAAAGUGACAGAUGUCCUGGCUACUUAAAGCCUUCCAAGGACUGCAGAUAGGUUCCAAGAAUAAGGAUCCUAAUUAAAAGUCAGUGUAAUGAUGAAGCUAAUUCUCU
rnacentral:lncRNA from 1 species